GGGGUUGUGGCUUGGUGGUAAAGCACCUGCCUAGCAUGUGUGAGGCCCUGGGUUCAAUUCUCAGCACCA
rnacentral:tRNA from 1 species